UACGUAGGGGGCAAGCGUUGUCCGGAAUCAUUGGGCGUAAAGCGCGUGUAGGCGGCUCACUAAGUCCGCUCUGAAAGCCCGGGGCUCAACCCCGGGAGGCGGGUGGAUACUGGCAGGCUUGAAUCCGGGAGAGGGAUGCGGAAUUCCAGGUGUAGCGGUGAAAUGCGUAGAUAUCUGGAGGAACACCGGUGGCGAAGGCGGCAUCCUGGACCGGCAUUGACGCUGAGGCGCGAAAGCCAGGGGAGCAAACGGG
rnacentral:rRNA from 1 species